AUUUGACAUGUAGAAGCAAUCACUGACCAAUCUGAUUGGUGGAGUGCUAGCCCUUGAUUAGAGAAUAAGUGCACUUAUGUUAAAACAAUUACCGGAAAUGACG